rnacentral:rRNA from 2 species
UAGGGAAUCUUCGGCAAUGGACGAAAGUCUGACCGAGCAACGCCGCGUGAGUGAAGAAGGUUUUCGGAUCGUAAAACUCUGUUGUUAGAGAAGAACAAGGACGUUAGUAACUGAACGUCCCCUGACGGUAUCUAACCAGAAAGCCACGGCUAACUACAUGCCAGCAGCCGCGGUAAUACGUAGGUGGCAAGCGUUGUCCGGAUUUAUUGGGCGUAAAGCGAGCGCAGGCGGUUUCUUAAGUCUGAUGUGAAAGCCCCCGGCUCAACCGGGGAGGGUCAUUGGAAACUGGGAGACUUGAGUGCAGAAGAGGAGAGUGGAAUUCCAUGUGUAGCGGUGAAAUGCGUAGAUAUAUGGAGGAACACCAGUGGCGAAGGCGGCUCUCUGGUCUGUAACUGACGCUGAGGCUCGAAAGCGUGGGGAGCAAACAGG